GCAGCAGUGGGGAUAUUGCACAAUGGGGGAAACCCUGAUGCAGCCAUGCCGCGUGUGUGAAGAAGGCCUUCGGGUUGUAAAGCACUUUCAGUAGGGAGGAAAGGUAGCAGCUUAAUACGCUGUUGCUGUGACGUUACCUACAGAAGAAGGACCGGCUAACUCCGUGCCAGCAGCCGCGGUAAUACGGAGGGUCCGAGCGUUAAUCGGAAUUACUGGGCGUAAAGCGUGCGCAGGCGGUUUGUUAAGCGAGAUGUGAAAGCCCCGGGCUCAACCUGGGAAUUGCAUUUCGAACUGGCGAACUAGAGUCUUGUAGAGGGGGGUAGAAUUCCAGGUGUAGCGGUGAAAUGCGUAGAGAUCUGGAGGAAUACCGGUGGCGAAGGCGGCCCCCUGGACAAAGACUGACGCUCAGGCACGAAAGCGUGGGGAGCAAACAGGAUUAGAUACCCUGGUAGUCCACGCCGUAAACGAUGUCUACUCGGAGUUUGGUGUCUUGAACACUGGGCUCUCAAGCUAACGCAUUAAGUAGACCGCCUGGGGAGUACGGCCGCAAGGUUAAAACUCAAAUGAAUUGACGGGGGCCCCCCACAAGA
rnacentral:rRNA from 1 species